rnacentral:lncRNA from 1 species
UGCACAGUACACGCCUGUGUAUUUGCAUACGUCGGGGCCAACCCAGUUUGUGGUGAUAUUGUUUGGGUCGGAGUAGAUGACUUUUUUGAAAGCCUGGAGAGCUGUGUAAGCUUGUUGGAGCUUUGGGUUUGGAGACAGUGAACGGUGGUGGUGAUGGUGGUGGUGGUGGUGGUGAGUAGCGGCGGAGGAGGAAGAGAGGUGGAGUAGAAAGAGGAGCAAGGUAUGGGAAAUGACGAAUGAACAAUACAAAGUUGAA